AUAAUAAAAAAAGAUCAUAGCGUUGAAAAUAUCAUGACGCGCUAACAAACAAAUUAAUUGCUUUAUGAUCAAGUUUCUAUGGGUUUCGUUUGCUGAAAAAAAAAGGUUAAAAUAUAGUCGGUUUUUAGCUAUUUCGGCGAAUAUUUUGUUGUCAUUAUAAAGACAUUACAGUGCGAUAUAGAAGCAAGAGAUUGGAAUAAAACUACGAGGUAGAGAUUCGUGAGAAUUUUGUUUCUUUGGCAAUGAAAAGUCUGAUUGUUUUCUUAGACAAUCUGGACUUUACGUAAUCCAAACGCCAACAAGAACGUAAAAGGUUUUUUAAGUCGUCGUAGUCGUAGCGCAUUUUAGUAGAAUAUCAUUAUGAAAAUUAUAAUGAAAACGUCACGGAUUGAAAUUUUUUUGUAUACUCAUCUGAAUGAUUUUUACUUUUAA